CCUAAACCAUAACCAGGCACUGGACCCUUAACCACAGACACUGUGGUCUUGGUUAUGUCUGUUGUUACUACUUCUGAUUUUGAACUAGAUGUCAAGGGAACCUGUGUUACUAUCCUGACACCUUCAGAAUCUGCCUGUUUACUUACACCAUCUGCUGGACCUAUAAAACCUGUGGCUGCACUAUCUAGAGUGUUGGCCAUCAUAUCCACAAAGACAGAAUCAUUGUUAAACUUGCAAACAUAUCAUAAAGAUUAUUCUCUUUUGGGAUUGAGAACUGUGAAAACACGCAAAUUUCAACAAUUAAUCUUUGAGGUCUGAAGAGUCAAGAGGUCAAGAAAAAAGUAUUGGAAGCCAUAAAUAUCUUGUGCACUGUCUUUAAUCAACUGGAAAUAGAAGCAAUGCUCCAUUAAACAAAUCUACCCCACAGAAAAUCAUGAUAUUAUUAUAAGAAGUUUGUAAUGGACUUAGAAGUCUGCAAUGGACUAAACAUACUAGUCAUCAAGCAAAAGAUCUGCCCUGCUUGUUACAGAAUGGCCCUUUCUGCAAACAAAAAGAGUGAAGAAACUCUUGAAAGGCUCAGCUCAGAGUUUCAGGUGUCUGAUUCAAAGCCUAAGCUGGUACAGCACAGCUGAGAGUCCUCACUUCAGUUUUAUUGAGAAAAAGGCUGCUGAGAUGGUAUUUUAGAGAA